rnacentral:lncRNA from 1 species
CCAAAUUUCGCCUUUUUUCCGGCGUCUUUCGUGAUCUUUCCAGGGCGCAAGUGGCAUCAUAAAAAUCUGAAUUUCACGAUCUUUUUAGGUCCCAAGUGGUCAAGUGGAAGUGGUUACAGAAAAUGCAUACAAGAGUCAUGUCAUUAGCUCUACGACGAUGGGCAAUCGAUGUCAAACAAAAUGUAAGGUCGACAAGAGCUAGCACAGAUACAGCACUUCUAGGUGCCUUUUAAAAUCUGUCAAAAGUUUUUCUAGAGAUUGUAUUACAUAGGUGCAACAGUUACACGCUUACUAACACAAAUGCUGUUGCUGAAUUUGUUCCGUCGAUGACUAGUCCAAUUCCAACGACCUUAAGCCAGCUCAAGCGUAGACGCGCGCUUUGCAGAAAAAACGGCGGGAUUAGCACGUGACCACGAGGGGCAAUCAUGCGUUCCAUUCAUAAUUUCCUGGACAAAAUAAUAGAAGGCGUUCUCUUUCAUAUCACGGGAUAACAAGAUAAACAAACGCUGUUGCUGAAUCUGAAUGUGCAUAAUUUUUGCUAUGCACCUGGAUAGUGUAUGUCCAAAUGCAUAAUACUCCCUCCGUCACAAAUUACAAUUUAUUUUGACUUUUCUAGAUACAUCACUUUUGCUACGUAUCUAUUCUACAUCACUUUUGCUACGUAUCUAUUCUAGAUACAUCACUUUUGCUACGUAUCUAGAUAUAUACAUAUGUCAGGUGCAUAGCAAAAAUAACGUAUCUACAAAAACUAAAAUGAAUUGUAAUUUGGAUCGGACGGAAUAAUAUCUAUAGUAAUAUCUUUAAAACUAAAAAAGCUAAAACACUCUACAAUUUGAAACGAAGGAAGUGCGAUAUCUCAAUUUCACAACAGAACUAUACUAUUGCAAUAACAUUUUUCUUCCUUUUUCUAACUGAUCACUGUUCUAGUGCAACUAGAGCACCGUGCACCGAUGAGAGCGAGCGAAAAUCGACUACGGGAAGAAGAACAAUCCAACAG